AGACCCAGACCACGGCACUUUCCUCACGCAGCCCUGCCCACGCUGCCUCUCAUCUCAGCCUCUCUGUCCAGUUCUCCAGCCACACAGCUUCUCCAAUGCCAAGCAGCACAGAAGCCAUUCCCUCUGACUGUACCAUUCUCUCUCCCUUCCUCGUCCUUCAUGACUUUCCCAGAGAGUAGCUUUCCUGUGAGACUCCUUAUGGCAUUGGUGGCCCACUUCUGCUCCUCACUGGAUGCUUAGUGGUUACUGUCAGUGUCCUCCUCCUUCACCAUGCUACAGGACUCCGAGGAUCAGGCUACUUUGUUCAUCACAUCCCCCUUCAUGGGGAAGGGGUGUUCAUACUCGAUGGCAACCCUGAAGGUGCUGGAGCUAUAGAAGCCAGAGACCUGGGGAAGCAGAGCAGCUCUCAAAGCUAUUAUAUGCCCAGUCAGCAUCUGGGUGUAGCACUGUUGUCUCUACUUCUUAGGGUGACAUUAAAGAAUUGAAAUAGUUUCUUCCUGAGAAGAAGUCAUUAAUGGAAAUGAACGCUCUCAAACUGAAAAAGUGAUCCACUUGUGUCUAUGAACAAGAAACAUCUGACUCCCAGCAGAAAUCUAACUUAGAGAAAUGCUAGAAAUCUAUAUAAACAGUUCUGUAUCAGUAAAUUUGAGAACUCUCUUAAGAGUCUAAGGUGUUUGGACACACACUUCACAAUAAAUGACUGUACUUUUCAAAAUUAA